rnacentral:rRNA from 1 species
CCGAUGAGGUGGAAACGGACAGAGCUGGCGUAUCUGGCUUGCAUUCAGCCGCUGCGCGUCGGGCCCCGGUUUGCCGCACUCCAGAUUGGGAAGGUGGCUGGGCCGCUGGCGUGCCAGUGGUGCAUUUGCAGGUGGAGUGCGCCGAGGCGCUCGGUUCAGCGACAUGAGCUCAGCUUUGAGGCCAACCGUGCAAGAGGUCUGGUACCCGGGCUGGGGGAGUGUUGUUUGGGCUGGGUGUUCGCUUGGNCAAUGGUUUCGGGCCCGGGUGGGUGCCGAGCUGGCGGUCGGCGGCGGUCGCGUGCGACACGUGCCAGCAGUCAGUUCGGUCCUGCUCGAGCUCUCAUCUGUCCGGCCUCGGUGUAAAAGCCGGUCAUCUGUCCGACCCGUCUUGAAACACGGACCAAGGAGUUUAGCGUGUGCGCGAGUCAUUGGGCGUUGAAAACCCAAAGGCGCAAUGAAAGUGAAGGUCUGCCUUGUGCAGCUGAUGUGUGAUCCUGGGCGCCGCGGUGCCCGGGCGCAACAUAGUCCCGUCCCGACUGCAUGCANUGGGGCGGAAACAGAGCGUACGCGCUGAG